CUGCCAUGGACCAAACGACCGAGGCGGUCG
rnacentral:sRNA from 1 species